UACGUAGGGUGCAAGCGUUAAUCGGAAUUACUGGGCGUAAAGCGUGCGCAGGCGGUUGUGCAAGACCGAUGUGAAAUCCCCGGGCUUAACCUGGGAAUGGCAUUGGUGACUGCACGGCUAGAGUGUGUCAGAGGGGGGUAGAAUUCCACGUGUAGCAGUGAAAAUGCGUAGAGAUGUGGAGGAAUACCGAUGGCGAAGGCAGCCCC
rnacentral:rRNA from 1 species